AACCUUAUGGACCUGCGGGCGUAUACCUGCGGAAGGAUCAUUACCGAGUGCGGGCCCUCGCGGCCCAACCUCCCACCCUUGUCUCUAUACACCUGUUGCUUUGGCGGGCCCACCGGGGCCACCUGGUCGCCGGGGGACGCACGUCUCCGGGCCCGCGCCCGCCGAAGCGCUCUGUGAACCCUGAUGAAGAUGGGCUGUCUGAGUACUGUGAAAAUUGUCAAAACUUUCAACAACGGAUCU
rnacentral:misc_RNA from 1 species